rnacentral:lncRNA from 1 species
CCCUUGACCCUCAUCCAUGCCUUGCCCUUUCUGUGCCCCCUUUAUAUGAGUUCUGGGGUACACUUUGUAUCCCCCCCCCACACCUUAUUCAUUCUCACCUAGGCUUAUGCUCUGAUAUUUCCUCCCCCCCAACACCUCUUCAUGAUGGGCUUCCUUCUUUUUCCCAAUCUUCGGCUGGAUUUUCUCCAUUUUUUGCACCUCUUCUUGGGACCCUGACCUUAUGCUUUUGCCCACUUUUUAUUGACUCCCUUCCCCCCCUUGUUAAUUAAUCUUCUUUACCUUGCUCCCUUUUUUCCCCUCUCUCCGUAGACACGGCUCAUGGAUACCGGCCCCUCCACCCCAGACCCGGGGGGCCCACGGAGGGAUUUUGCCGCCCCGACCUCUGAACCGGGCCCCCCGUCCUUCGAAUGGCUGCUCGGGCGGCUGGGGGCCGGGGGGCGGCGCCAGCGCCUCUUGCUGGCCCUGAGCUGCCUGCCCUGCCUCCUGCUGGGACUCGGGGUGGGCUCCGACGCCCUCUUCACCUUGACGCCCCCCCGCCACUGCCGGGACGCCAACGGCACCAGGGUGCCGGAGAACGCGACGUGCCAGGAUGCCCACUGCCCGAACUGGGACUACGGAGGGCUCCCGGCCCUCACCAGCAAUCCAGUUACCGAGUGGUUCCUGGAUUGUUCCCGAGGAUGGGUUGUCCCGUUGGAGCAGCUCUGUUUUCUCCUUGGCUUUGCAGCUGGGGCCCUAUUUCUUGGCCACCUGGCAGACAGGUAAGACAGCGGACAAGAUGGCUGAAAUAUUGGACAAGUAGGAGGAGGAGAUUUUCAAAAUACUGUAUAGGGAAGGUCAAGGUCACAUCCAACAUCCAGAUGAUGAUAAGGGGUAGGCUUCUUUCCUGCCCUCGAUUAACUCUAGUGGAAGGGAAUUCAUUAUAUCAGGUUUCGAUCUUGGCCACCUAGCGGCCUUCGUUUGCAGCAUGUUCAUCGUCAGAAUAUCUCAAAGGCUAUAUAGCCUGACGAAGUUAAAGAAUCCACUUUGAAUUAAUUUUGGCCAGUUCUGUUAACAGACAAUGGCUGAAAUCCUGUUGGUAGAACUAUGCUAGUGGAAGGCUGGUGUCAUCAGCAAGGGGUGACUUUCAGUAAUUAAAAACAUCCUACUUGUGUCCUUUGGCUUUUGAAUCUCGCAAGUAGUCCCUCUCAUUGGAUGGGAGUCAUGGAACAGGGGAAGGAAGUCUUUAAUUACGGAAAGUCUCCCUUUUGCAGUAAUAUCAUCCAAUGGCAGUGAAUUUCAGUGAGUAAAAACUUCCUCCUACUGUCCCCUGGCUCACAUGUAAUGAAGAGGAUUUUAUGGGAGUCGGAAAAACUGUGGAGCAAAAGUUUUUAAUUACCAGUACUGCUCCCUGCUGCUGAUGUCAUCAUCUUUCAGCAGGUGCAAGUUACGCAACAGAGGUUUUGGCCUGACUUAUAACUUUUACAACUUUUCAUUCUCAAAGAAAACUUGGGGUGGAGCUCAGAAAAGUUGCACAUUUUUGGCUUUCCCACUUAAGGGUUGACUUUGAAGAGGAAACAUUCAAAGAAAAAA